rnacentral:tRNA from 1 species
UUUUUUAAAUUUUUUGAUGCCCCGAGCUCCGCCCCCCUUACAAUUUUUUGAUGCC